rnacentral:tRNA from 1 species
UUAAAUAUAUUUUAAAUAAAAUAAAAAUUUUCCAAAUUUUAGAUAUAAGAGUGUAUUUAUUAUUUAAU